GACGAACGCUGGCGGCGUGCUUAACACAUGCAAGUCGAACGGAAAGGCCCUGCUUUUGUGGGUUGCUCGAGUGGCGAACGGGUGAGUAACACGUGAGUAACCUGCCCUUGACUUUGUGAUAACUUCAGGAAACUGGGGCUCAUACCGGAUAGGAGCUCCUGCUGCAUGGUGGGGGUUGGAAAGUUUCGGCGGUUGGGGAUGGACUCGCGGCUUAUCCGCUUGAUGGUGAGGUAGUGGCUUACCAAGGCUUUGACGGGUAGCCGGCCUGAGAGGGUGACCGGCCACAUUGGGACUGAGAUACGGCCCAGACUCCUACGGGAGGCAGCAGUGGGGAAUAUGGCACAAUGGGCGGAAGCCAGAUGCAGCAACGCCGCGUGCGGGAUGACGUCUUUCGGGGGAUAAACCGCUUUCGCCGGUGACGAAGCGUGAGUGACGGUAAUGGGUAAAGAAGCACCGGCUAACUACGUG
rnacentral:rRNA from 1 species